rnacentral:rRNA from 1 species
AUUGAACGCUGGCGGAAUGCUUUACACAUGCAAGUCGAACGGCAGCACGGACUUCGGUCUGGUGGCGAGUGGCGAACGGGUGAGUAAUGUAUCGGAACGUGCCCAGUCGUGGGGGAUAACGUAGUGAAAAUUACGCUAAUACCGCAUACGAUCUAUGGAUGAAAGGGGGGGAUCGCAAGACCUCGCGCGAAUGGAGCGGCCGAUAUCAGAUUAGGUAGUUUGUGGGGUAAAGGCCCACCAAGCCAACGAUCUGUAGCUGGUCUGAGAGGACGACCAGCCACACUGGAACUGAGACACGGUCCAGACUCCUACGGGAGGCAGCAGUGGGGAAUUUUGGACAAUGGGCGAAAGCCUGAUCCAGCCAUUCCGCGUGCAGGAUGAAGGCCCUCGGGUUGUAAACUGCUUUUGUACAGAACGAAAAGGUUUCUACUAAUACUAGGAGCUCAUGACGGUACUGUAAGAAUAAGCACCGGCUAACUACGUGCCAGCCGCCGCAGUAA